rnacentral:rRNA from 1 species
UGUCUGGGAAACUGCCUGAUGGAGGGGGAUAACUACUGGAAACGGUAGCUAAUACCGCAUAACGUCGCAAAACCAAAGAGGGGGACCUUCGGGCCUCUUGCCAUCGGAUGUGCCCAGAUGGGAUUAGCUAGUAGGUGGGGUAACGGCUCACCUAGGCGACGAUCCCUAGCUGGUCUGAGAGGAUGACCAGCCACACUGGAACUGAGACACGGUCCAG